ACAUAUGAAAUGCAAAUCACCUGCUGACAAUAUAUGUUAAAGGAGGAGGUUUGUGCUCUAGAACUUGUCUUAUUGGAGCAGCUGGUAUAACUGGAAGAAGUAAAGCUAUUUCUUCUACGUACAAACCUUGUCUUGAGUUGGAGAAUCAACUCAGCCUGUUGACUUCACUGUCAUCAGCUAGCAGAAGAUCUUCAUGUAACUGGCUGAAAAAUGGUUCUACAAGAUGACAGCCCCAACUCUAACACAGUUAAAAUGGAGAUUGUCUUCACUUUGACAUGAGGUGUGAAGUUUGCUAGAUUUUUUUUUUGUUUUGAAAUUAUUGUGGAAGGUCACAAAUGGUGUGGGUUUUUAUCAUGAAUCGAAUGAGCUCCCAGAGCAAUUCAUCCACUCAACGUAGGCGAAUGGCUCUUGGAAUUGUCAUUCUUCUUCUUGUUGAUGUGAUAUGGGUUGCCUCUUCAGAACUCACUUCUUAUGUUUUUACAAAGUACAACAAACCUUUUUUCAGUACUUUUGCAAAAACAUCCAUGUUUGUUCUAUAUCUCUUGGGAUUUAUUGUUUGGAAACCAUGGAGGCAACAGUGUACACGUGGGUUUCGUGGAAGGCAUGCA